UAUCAUUUUUUCUAUUUUCAUUGGGUGUCCUUACCCAUCUCCUUUCUCAUUUAUUUAGUGUCUUUAGUGUAUUUCGAUUGGUUCAUUUAACCCAGCCGCGCUACAAUUGAUUUGGAUUUUAGUAUAUCGGUUUUAUUAUUGAAAUUGAUGAGUCCUGCCAUUUGGUUGCGCUGGAGAGCAAAAAGAGAAGGAUGAGAAUGGUAAGAAGAGCAAAAAAAAAGGAGAGGAUGCGAAACCAAACUGCCUCAACUUGAUAUGCUAUUAGCUGCCUUGCUCUUACCUCAGGUCUUCGUUUGCAUUCGCCACGAAGAUGAAAUAACACCACUUCCGUUCAGGCACUAAUGCGCAUUGAUUUUCACAUUUCCACUGGCGUCAUUUUCCAUUGUUAUACUACACUUUUCUACCUAUUGUUGUUGUUGUUGUUGUUCUUGUUAUUUAGCAAACAUUUUGCCGUUCAUCUAAUAGCUACGGAUGUGGUUAAAAGCAUUUGCCCGAACCUUCCCUUUUUCAUAGACCAUUAAAUUUGCAUUUGCUGCUGACUGGCGCGAUUGGCAGACAGGCAAGUAAGCAGCCAUUCAAAUGUGCAGACGGGCAGGUGAAAUACGAAACCAAGAACAAGAAUGUUAAGUUUAAUGAUGAAGAACUGAAGAAGACAAGCGUUUCCCAACUAAAUAUUUAAGUAGGCAACGUGUUUCUACUAAACAGCAAACUGAUCACAUUCUAUUUCAUUCCAAAUUUGAAGUCUGAGCGAUCGGAGCAAAAAAAAAAAACAUGUCGAAACAAAUUCCUUCUUUUUUUACUACUAAAACAAAAGAAAAUCGCACAUCCAGCCAAAGGGAAUCGCAACAUGAGAUAAGUAGUUGCACGACUUUAUCUACUUCACUAUCAAUUGACGAAGAACAAAAUCUAAGGCGCAAAGUGGAGAAAAUUGUUAGACAAAUGCCUAAAUCUGAUUCGCAUGACAUGGACGUUGAUGGCAUUAUGACUUUGAUUAUGCCAAAGUUUUAAAUGAGCUGAAGCCCUAUGACAAACUAAAUUGGAAAAUCAAUAGAAUUUUAAGAAAAUUAAAAUCCCAAAUGGAUUAUACGACUGUCAUUGAUCAAGAUAUAGCUGUUAUAUAUUACGAUUUAUACAAAAUCUUUAACAAACUGGAGAAAAUACAAGGUAUAAAAAAAAACAUACCAGAGCCGGUUGCAGAAACUCAAAAACCAGCAAAAAUGUCUCAAGAAACGAAGGUGAAACAAAUUGCUUGCCCAUUAAAAUCGUCAAUGCAGUCUCUAGAAUUAAAGACGGAAAUAAUCCCUUGCUUAAUAAAGUCGUCGAAGCAGUGCCUAGGUUCAAGGAAAGAACAACUUCCUUAUCUAAUAAAAUCAUCAAAGAAGCCGUCUCUACAAUCGAAAAAGGAAACAGUUGAGUCGUCGAAGCAGCCUCUAGAAUCAAAGAAAGAACUAGUUCCUUACUCAAUUAAAUCAUCGAAGAAGUCGUCUCCACAAUCGAAAAAGGAAACAAUUCCACCGUCAAAGAAGUCACUACAAAUCAAGUCCAGAGUCUUACAUUUAAGUGCGACAAUUGAAAGCUAUACGGAUAUAACUGCGCAGAAAUCUCAUUCGAAUUCCACCAAAAAGCCGAUCGAAGCUCAACAGAUGAUAUGUCCAUAUUGCAAGAAAAAGUCACUUACAUGCUUCCAAGAGGAAAUGACUAUCUCUUCUGAUCCUUCCUCUGCGGCCAUAGCACGUGCCGAAAGAAACUGUUUUAUAUUGAAUAUGUUAGCAACGCGAAAAUCAGACUUCACACUUAAUUUAAAUCGUGGAAAGAUAUAUUACUAAACUCUUAUGAAUCUAUCAAA